GUCAGAUUUGCUCUAAAUGUUUUGGUUUUUGAGUUAUAAGCCAAAAACUGCAUUUUACCCCUAUGUUCUAUUUUUAGCCGUGGCGGCCAUCUUGAUUUGAUGGUCGGGUCACCGGACACAUUUUUUAAACUAAAUACCCCAAAGAUGAUUGUGGUCAAGUUUGGAUUUAUUUGGCCCAGUAGUUUCAGAGGAGAAGAUUUUUGUAAAAGAUAACUAAGAUUUACGAAAAAUGGUUAAAAAUUGACUAUAAAGGGCAAUAACUCCUAAAAGGGUCAACUGACCAUUUCGGUCAUGUUGACUUAUUUGUAAAUCUUACUUUGCUGAACAUUAUUGCUGUUUACAGUUUAUCUCUAUCUAUAAUAAUAUUCGAGAUAAUAACCAAAAACAGAAAAAUUUCCUUAAAAUUACCGAUUCAGGGGCAGCAACCCAACAACGGGUUGUCCGAAUCAUCUGAAAAUUUCA
rnacentral:lncRNA from 1 species